rnacentral:rRNA from 1 species
UUGGAGAUUUGAGAGGGGCUGCUCCUAGUACGAGAGGACCGGAGUGGACGAACCUCUGGUGUUCCGGUUGUCACGCCAGUGGCAUUGCCGGGUAGCUAUGUUCGGAAGCGAUAACCGCUGAAAGCAUCUAAGCGGGAAGCGCGCCUCAAGAUGAGAUCUCCCGGGGCACAAGCCCCCUGAAGGAACCAUGUAGACUACGUGGUUGAUAGGUCAGGUGUGUAAGUACAGCAAUGUAUUGAGCUAACUGAUACUAAUGAUCCGUGCGGCUUGACCAU